CCUACGGGAGGCAGCAGUGAGGAAUAUUGGUCAAUGGACGCAAGUCUGAACCAGCCAUGCCGCGUGCAGGAAGACGGCUCUAUGAGUUGUAAACUGCUUUUGUACGAGGGUAAACGCAGAUACGCGUAUCUGUCUGAAAGUAUCGUACGAAUAAGGAUCGGCUAACUCCGUGCCAUCAGCCGCGGUAAUACGGAGGAGUCAAGCGUUAUCCGGAUUUAUUGGGUUUAAAGGGUGCGUAGGCGGUCGGAUAAGUUAGAGGUGAAAUCCCGAGGCUCAACUUCGGAAUUGCCUCUGAUACUGUUCGGAUAGAGAGUAGUUGCGGUAGGCGGAAUGUAUGGUGUAGCGGUGAAAUGCUUAGAGAUCAUACAGAACACCGAUUGCGAAGGCAGCUUACCAAGCUACUUCUGACGUUGAGGCACGAAAGCGUGGGGAGCAAACAGGAUUAGAUACCCCUGUAGUC
rnacentral:rRNA from 1 species